rnacentral:tmRNA from 1 species
GGGGCUGAAAAUGGUUUCGACAGGGUUGUGAAAAAUUUUAAAUCCGCAGGUGUGAUUUACCUUACAAAUCAAACUUAAAUAUAAACGCAAAACCUUAUAGAUUAGCUGCCUAAUUAAUUGGUAGGCCUAAACGACAUGCUUGUUGUUCAGCUAAAUGUCUGCGGCUCGAGGAAUAGAACAAUCACCCCAAAGUUUCUUAAUUCUUUUUCAAAAAUUAAGUGGUGGAUACGAUGUUUGUAAAGUGUCUUUACAAAACCCUGAGUUGGUUAUCUCUAAAAUAACCUAUUGCGUAAGUAUGAUUUAAAAUUAGUAACAGUUUUGGACGCGAGUUCGACUCUCGCCAGCUCCAG